CCACAAAGGAUAACCUAGUUAUUUUUCUUUGAAGGCAUGAUUCACAGGCCAAAAUUGACUCAGAUUUAACCAAGUCAAGGAUCCCAUCCUCUUUUAAUCUAUUUAUCCUGUCCUCUCUAAUAUGACCAAGCCUAUGGUGCCACAAGUACUUCUGGUUAAACUCUUCUCUAAGUCUCUUUAGGCCUAUGACACUCACUACUUGCUUGUUUAAGUUCACAUUAGCAUCA
rnacentral:lncRNA from 1 species